ensembl:snRNA U1 U1 spliceosomal RNA
AAAAUUACCUGGCAGGGGAGAUUCCAUGACAAUGGAAGUGGUUUUCCCAGGGCAAGGCUCACCAUUGUACUCUGGAUGUGCUGACCCCUGCGAUUUCCCCAAAUGUGAGAAACUGGACAGCAUAAUUUGUGGUAGUGGGAGACUGCCUUUGCCCUUUCCCCUG